rnacentral:rRNA from 1 species
AGUGAACGCUGGCGGUAGGCCUAACACAUGCAAGUCGAACGGCAGCACAGUAAGAGCUUGCUCUUACGGGUGGCGAGUGGCGGACGGGUGAGGAAUACAUCGGAAUCUACUUUUUCGUGGGGGAUAACGUAGGGAAACUUACGCUAAUACCUCAUACGACCUACGGGUGAAAGCAGGGGAUCUUCGGACCUUGCGCGAUUCAAUGAGCCGAUGUCGGAUUAGCUAGUUGGCGUGGUAAAGGCCCACCAAGGCGACGAUCCGUAGCUGGUCUGAGAGGAUGAUCAGCCACACUGGAACUGAGACACGGUCCAGACUCCUACGGGAGGCAGCAGUGGGGAAUAUAGGACAAUGGGCGCAAGCCUGAUCCAGCCAUACCGCGUGGGUGAAGAAGGCCUUCGGGUUGUAAAGCCCUUUUGUUGGGAAAGAAAAGCAGCAGGUGAAUACCCCGCUGUUCUGACGGUACCCAAAGAAUAAGCACCGGCUAACUUCGUG